rnacentral:tRNA from 1 species
GCUGAUAUAGCACAGUCGGUAGUGCGCCACCUUGGUAAGGUGGAGGUCCCGGGUCCGAUUCCCGGUAUCAGCUCCA